ACAAGCGGUGGAGUAUGUGGUUAAUUCGAUGCAACGCGAAGAACCUUACCUGGUCUUGACAUCCCGGAGACCCUUAGGAAACUAGGGGGUGCUUCCAUCUGGAAGAAUCUGGAGACAGGUGCUGCAUGGCUGUCGUCAGCUCGUGUCGCGAGAUGUUGGGUUAAGUCCCGCAACGAGCGCAACCUUGUCCUUAGUUACCAGCACGUUAUGGUGGGCACUCUAAGGAGACUGCCGGUGACAAACCGGAGGAAGGUGGGGAUGACGUCAAGUCAUCAUGGCCCUUACGGCCUGGGCUACACACGUGCUACAAUGGUCGGUACAAAGGGUUGCCAAGCCGCGAGGUGGAGCUAAUCCCAUAAAACCGAUCGUAGUCCGGAUCGCAGUCUGCAACUCGACUGCGUGAAGUCGGAAUCGCUAGUAAUCGUGAAUCAGAAUGUCACGGUGAAUACGUUCCCGGGCCUU
rnacentral:rRNA from 1 species